GGCGCCCGGGUGAGUAACGCGUGGGUAAUCUGUCUUCAAAUUCGGGAUAACCCGCCGAAAGGCGUGCUAAUACCGGAUAACAUCAUGUACGCUGAGGUGUAUGUGAUCAAAGGUAGCCUCUACAAGUAAGCGACUGUUUGGAGAUGAGCCUGCGUACCAUUAGUUAGUUGGCGGGGUAACGGCCCACCAAGGCGACGAUGGUUAGCUGGUCUGAGAGGAUGAUCAGCCACACUGGAACUGACACACGGUCCAGACUCCUACGGGAGGCAGCAGUGAGGAAUUUUGCGCAAUGGGCGGAAGCCUGACGCAGCAACGCCGCGUGAGUGAAGAAGGCCUUCGGGUCGUAAAGCUCUGUCAAAUGGGAAGAACCUGUGCAUGGUAAACAAGUGUGCACACUGACGGUACCAUUGAAGGAAGCACCGGCUAACUCCGUGCCAGCAGCCGCGGUAAUACGGAGGGUGCGAGCGUUAUUCGGAAUUAUUGGGCGUAAAGAGCACGUAGGCGGCAGUGCAAGUCAGGUGUGAAAACCCGGGGCUUAACCUCGGAAGCGCAUUUGAAACUGUGCUGCUUGAGUAUGGGAGAGGGAAGUGGAAUUCCUGGUGUAGCGGUGAAAUGCGUAGAUAUCAGGAGGAACACCGGUGGCGAAGGCGACUUCCUGGACCAAUACUGACGCUGAGGUGCGAAGGCGUGGGUAGCAAACAGGAUUAGAUACCCUGGUAGUCCACGCAGUAAACGGUGAUCACUAGGUGUAGCGGGUAUUGACCCCUGCUGUGCCGCAGUUAACGCAUUAAGUGAUCCGCCUGGGGAGUACGGCCGCAAGGUUAAAACUCAAAGGAAUUGACGGGGGCCCGCACAAGCGGUGGAGCAUGUGGUUUAAUUCGACGCAACGCGAAGAACCUUACCUGGAUUUGACAUCUGCGGGAGUGCUAUGAAAGUAGGAUGUGCCCUUCGGGGAGCCGCAAGACAGGUGCUGCAUGGCUGUCGUCAGCUCGUGUCGUGAGAUGUUGGGUUAAGUCCAGCAGCGAGCGCAACCCUUGUCUUUAGUUACCAGCAUUUAGGAGGGGGACUUUAAUGAAACUGCCCCGGUUAUCGGGGAGGAAGGUGGGGAUGAUGUCAAGUCCUCAUGUCCUUUAUGUCCAGGGGUACACUCGUGUUACAAUGGGUUGU
rnacentral:rRNA from 1 species